GCCUGGGUGGCUCAGUUGGUUGAGCGUCUGACUUCUGCUCAGGUCCGUGAGUUCGAGCCCCGCGUCGGGCU